GACGAACGCUGGCGGCGUGCUUAACACAUGCCAGUCGAACGGAAAGGCCCUGCUUUUGUGGGGUGCUCGAGUGGCGAACGGGUGGGUAACACGUGAGUAACCUGCCCUUGACUUUGGGAUAACUUCAGGAAACUGGGGCUAAUACCGGAUAGGAGCUCCUGCUGCAUGGUGGGGGUUGGAAAGUUUCGGCGGUUGGGGAUGGACUCGCGGCUUAUCAGCUUGUUGGUGGGGUAGUGGCUUACCAAGGCUUUGACGGGUAGCCGGCCUGAGAGGGUGACCGGCCACAUUGGGACUGAGAUACGGCCCAGACUCCUACGGGAGGCAGCAGUGGGGAAUAUUGCACAAUGGGCGGAAGCCUGAUGCAGCAACGCCGCGUGCGGGAUGACGGCCUUCGGGUUGUAAACCGCUUUCGCCUGCGACGAAGCGUGAGUGACGGUAAUGGGUAAAGAAGCACCGGCUAACUACGUG
rnacentral:rRNA from 1 species